rnacentral:rRNA from 1 species
CCCUUAGAUGUUCGGGGCCGCACGCGCGCUACACUGAAGGACUCAGCGUGUCUCUCCCCCUAUCCCGAAAGGGAUGGGCAACCCGUUGAACCACCUUCGUGCUAGGGAUUGGGGUUUGCAAUUAUCCCCCAUGAACGAGGAAUUCCCAGUAAGCGCGAGUCAUCAGCUCGCGUUGAUUACGUCCCUGCCCUUUGUACACACCGCCCGUCGCUACUACCGAUUGGAUGGUUUAGUGAGACCCUCGGAUCGGUCCCGACUCGGGGUGGGCUUCUGCCCCGGUCGUGGUUUCGCCGAGAAGACAGUCAAACUUGACUAUCUAGAGGAAGUAAAAGUCGUAACA